UUUCUCUCUCCUCCCCUCCCCUGCGCGCGUCGCUCUAGUUUCUCCGGCCAAAUCCGGCCGAUCCGGCCACCGAUUGGACCGGGUCUUGUGUCUAAAAUCAUCUACUCGGCGAGAGCUUUCCAUAGACACCAAGAACGCCGAAAUCCAUCGAGCGGAUUGUCCGAUUUUUGCUCGGGAAGAUUUUCGCCCAUUUCGACUUUUGGGCUAGAUUUCUCGAAAACCGUGAAUCCCACGAGAAAACCGAGGCUACCAGCACGCUCCACUCGACGAGAGCUUCGCGGGAUAUUAAUUUCAAAAUUUUCCGACAACGUUUUUCGGUAUUCUCAAUUCGCGGAAAUUCGACAGUUGACCGGGUCUGCGAAAUUCCGGCCAGACAGACCCGUUACCGGAAAAGUCUCCGAAUUGGGCCGAGAUUUUGCCUACCCCCCCAUUGUCAGACGUCCCGAGCGCGUCCCCGAGGUCGGAAUCGGCAAAGGCCACAGGAGGAUAUUUUAUUCUGGGUUAACCUGCUUUUAUCCUUCGCAGGUUGUUUAUCCAUGUUUGUGUAAUUUUAAUUACUCCUAGAAUUUCCGCAUGUGUUAGCAGUAUUUAUUUGAAUUUGGUCUGUAAUAUUUUUAUUAUGUUGGACCUGUAAACUUAAAUAUGUUAUGCAUGUUGAUGGAUUGGAUGAGGGAGCUGAGCUCCCAUUUAUUUUAUGUUGAUGAGUAUGUGGAGGGUGAGCUGAGCUCCCCAAUUGAGUA